CAUGAGUACAUUCCCUCAGGCUCCUGCCACCUUUCCAGAGAAGGCACUGGACCAGCCUUGCUGAGUUUCCUUCAGCGUCGACACUCACUUCCUUGAGUUCCUUAUAGCCACGUUUGUGGACUCCGCUCUUUCGUAUCUCCCUCCCAGUUUGGCUUCCUACCUCUGUCUCCAUUGCUUCCAGCUCUUCAGGAUGUGUGAAGACUCAGACACCACGAGCACCGAAGUAGACAUCAGGGAAUCCCAGGAGUGGUUAGCAUUUUCAGCAUUCCUGUGAAAACCAACUGGAAAAAUGAGCACGGGAAGAGCAGACAGAAUUUUUAUGUGGUGUCUUCGUCUCCCAGGAUCUACUCCUGCUACAUAACAUCAGGAUGAGGCGAGAAAUGUGAUGUUUUUCUUGCCAUUUGGAAAGGACAAUUCCAAAUUAGUCUUCUUUCGAAUCCCUUUCCCCACUGACCUCUCCACCAAAAAAAAAAAUAAAAUAAAAAGGGCAUUGGAUCAGAAAGCUGGGCUCCCAACCAAGCUCAGGAAGAAUCUUCCUGCCGCUCCUCCCCUAUCGUGUCUCUCAGAAGCUUUUGGACCACCACAGAAAGGACCUAAAAUGACUUCAUCUCACCAUCUUCAGACAGCUCUUCUGAGUUACGGCUUUGGCAGUGCUGGCAGUGCAAUCAUUUGUCCCCACACCUGUGACUUCUUUGACUAAAAAGAUAAAAUC
rnacentral:lncRNA from 1 species